rnacentral:rRNA from 1 species
UAAUACGGAGGAUGCAAGCGUUAUCCGGAUUUAUUGGGUUUAAAGGGUGCGCAGGCGGACUAAUAAGUCAGUGGUGAAAUUUACAUGCUUAACAUGUGACGUGCCAUUGAUACUGUUAGACUAGUAUACAAAUGACGUAGCUGGAAUGUGUUAUGUAGCGGUGAAAUGCAUAGAUAUAACACAGAACACCGAUCGUGAAGACAGGUUACGAAUUUGUGAUAGACGCUCAUGCACGAAAGCGUGGGGAUCAAACAGG